rnacentral:ncRNA from 1 species
GUAAAGACAGUGAAUGAGAGAGUAGAUAUAAUAAAUUUUUCAGGGAGAAAUGGUCUUAGACUGAAAGCCAUUUUAAAAGGAAUUAUAUUGAAGUUCCCUCAGGAGUCCUAGCUAUGAAAUUAUAGUAGUUGCUAGCGGUAGUACCGUUAUUUAAAUUAAGUUGGGUUUUAAAUAUUAUAAAUUUAAAACCAAUUAGGGUGGUAACGCGGAUACUCCGUCCCUUUA